UACGUAGGGUGCGAGCGUUGUCCGGAAUUAUUGGGCGUAAAGAGCUCGUAGGCGGUGUGUCACGUCGGCCGUGAAAACCUGCAGCUUAACUGUGGGCGUGCGGUCGAUACGGGCAUCACUGGAGUUCGGCAGGGGAGACUGGAAUUCCUGGUGUAGCGGUGAAAUGCGCAGAUAUCAGGAGGAACACCGGUGGCGAAGGCGGGUCUCUGGACAGUUCCUGACGCUGAGGCACGAAGGUCAGGGGAGCAAACGGGG
rnacentral:rRNA from 1 species